GUCCGCAACGAGCGCAACCCCUAUUGUUAGUUGCCAUCAUUCAGUUGGGCACUCUAGCGAGACUGCCGGUAAUAAACCGGAGGAAGGUGGGGAUGACGUCAAAUCAUCAUGCCCCUUAUGACCUGGGCUACACACGUGCUACAAUGGUUGGUACAACGAGUUGCGAGUCGGUGACGGCGAGCUAAUCUCUUAAAGCCAAUCUCAGUUCGGAUUGUAGGCUGCAACUCGCCUACAUGAAGUCGGAAUCGCUAGUAAUCGCGGAUCAGCACGCCGCGGUGAAUACGUUCCCGGGCCUU
rnacentral:rRNA from 1 species